rnacentral:rRNA from 3 species
UUGACCUCAAAUCGGGUGAGACUACCCGCUGAACUUAAGCAUAUCAAUAAGCG